GUUCUUCGUCACGAGGAUGCCCCGAUGUAGAUGUAAUUAUGUAAAGGACAAGGUAAAGGAAAGAAGCGCUAAAGCGCUUAAAGAAGAAUCAAGAAACCCAGGCGGCAAACUCAAAAUAAAACGCGGGCAAAUCCAUCUCUCUCUCUAAAUCAACUUGAAUCCGUUUUUUCGAUUAAUGCUUUAACCGCGAAAUUGAAAUUUGAUCAGUUUUUGAGCUGAUCCAUCUCGGCAAUCAAUGAGAGAAAGGUUCGCCUAAAAGAGAGAGAGAAGUUAGGGAGAAAUCCGCGCGACUGUUCGUACAAUGAGAGAAGCUUUUUUGCACACUAAUCCGAGAAUAGUUACUGGCCGGAACAAGAAUUUGAAAGAAUUUGUCAGGGAGAUGCAACCUGGCCUUUAGAGGUCGUGGUGCUCGAGUUUUUUGGUCAAAUCCUCUGACACAUACGAAUCCUGCAAUGCAUUUAUUGUUUUAUGAGUAUAAAUGCAGUGGGGGUAAUAGGAUACAUAUAAGGGGCUUGAUCUGUUUACUUUUGGAGCUACUGAGAUGAAGACGAUACAUACCUCUCCAGAAGCAGUACUGGAUACCUUCAGUCGACAUACCUAGAAAGUACCAAUCAAAUUUCUUUAAGCCGCUUUGCUUUACCCUUUGGGUGUAAACUACUAGAUUAAAUGUACCUUUGAAUAUAGUUGAGACAGAGGUCCCAAAGAAGACUGUCCGUCUAGGUAAGUUCCAUAUCAAACUUCUUGGUACUUUAAUAGGAUCCCUGCUGGUUUUAUCAUCGGCAAAAACCUGCAUAUAUAUUAACAUGUUAUGGCAACCAUCUUCAUAUGCACGGUCAUACUUUCAUGCAUUACUAUGCUAAAUUGCCACUUUUUUUCACAAUUUUCAAUAUAUUGAUCAUCACUAAUUGACAA